UACGUAGGGGGCAAGCGUUAUCCGGAUUUACUGGGUGUAAAGGGAGCGCAGACGGCAGUGCAAGUCUGGAGUGAAAGCCCGCGGCUCAACUGCGGAACGGCUUUGGGAACUGAGUAACUGGAGUGCUGGAGGGGCAGGCGGAAUUCCUGGUGUAGCGGUGAAAUGCGUAGAUAUCAGGAGGAACACCGGUGGCGAAGGCGGCCUGCUGGACAGUAACUGACGUUGAGGCUCGAAAGCGUGGGGAGCAAACAGG
rnacentral:rRNA from 1 species